CCUCCCACCUCCCACAUUCAUAACCAUAAGUAUGUUUUCUACAAUCUGUGACUCAAUUUCUGUUUUGUAAAUAGGUUCAUUUGUACCAUUUUUUUAGAUUCCACAUAUAAGAAAUAUCAUAUGAUAUUUGUCUUUCUCUGUCUGACUUACUUCACUCAGUAUGACAAUAACUAGGUCCAUCAAUGUCACUGUAAGUGGCAUUAUUUCAUUCUUUUUUAUGGCUGAAUAAUAUUCCAUUGUAUAUAUACUUAUAUGUGUAUGUGU